AGAGGCCUACCAUGGUUGCAACGGGUAACGGGGAAUAAGGGUUCGAUUCCGGAGAGGGAGCCUGAGAAACGGCUACCACAUCCAAGGAAGGCAGCAGGCGCGCAAAUUACCCACUCCCGGCUCGGGGAGGUAGUGACGAAAAAUAACAAUACGAGACUCAUCCGAGGCUUCGUAAUUGGAAUGGGUACACUUCAAAUCCUUUAACGAGGAUCUAUUGGAGGGCAAGUCUGGUGCCAGCAGCCGCGGUAAUUCCAGCUCCAAUAGCGUAUAUUAAAGUUGCUGCGGUUAAAAAGCUCGUAGUUGGAUCUCAGUCUCGGUCGGACGGUCCAUCUUACGAUGGUACUGUUCGAAUCGGACAUCAUGCCGCCUUUCUCAGUAUGCUCUUGACUGAGUGUACUGGGAGAGUGGCGCGUUUACUUUGAAAAAAUUAGAGUGCUCAAAGCAGGCGAUUGCCUGAAUCUUCGUGCAUGGAAUGAUGGAAUAGGGCCUCGGUUCUAUUUUGUUGGUUUCCGGAACUCGAGGUAAUGAUUAAGAGGGACGGACGGGGGCAUUCGUAUUGCGACGUUAGAGGUGAAAUUCUUAGAUCGUCGCAAGACGAACUACUGCGAAAGCAUUUGCCAAGAAUGUUUUCAUUAAUCAAGAACGAAAGUCAGAGGUUCGAAGGCGAUCAGAUACCGCCCUAGUUCUGGCCUUAAACCAUUCGAACUGGCGAUCCGAUGGUGUUAAUUCCAAUGACCCAUCGGGCAGCUUCCGGGAAACCAAAGUGUUCACGGUCCGGGGGAAGUAUGGUUGCAAAACUGGAACUUAAAGGAAUUGACGGAAGGGCACCACCAGGAGUGGAGCCUGUGGCUCAAUUUGACUCAACACGGGAAAUCUCACCAGGCCCGGACACUGGCAGGAUUGACAGAUUGAUAGCUCUUUCUUGAUUCAGUGGGUGGUGGUGCAUGGCCGUUCUUAGUUGGUGGAGUGAUUUGUCUGGUUAAUUCCGAUAACGAACGAGACCCCGUCCUACUUACUAGACUGAGAAUUUUUUUGUUCUCAGACUCUUCUUAGAGGGACAACUAGCGUACAUCUAGCUACAUGAAAUGGGGCAAUAACAGGUCUGUGAUGCCCUUAGAUGUUCUGGGCUGCACACGCGCUACACUGAAGGGAUCAUCGUGUUUGUCCUAGCCCGAAA
rnacentral:rRNA from 1 species